rnacentral:rRNA from 1 species
UACGAAGGGUGCAAGCGUUAAUCGGAAUUACUGGGCGUAAAGGGUGCGCAGGCGGCUCCGCAUGUCGGGCGUGAAAGCCCCGGGCUUAACCCGGGAAUGGCGUCCGAAACUAUGGAGCUGGAGUGUGGCAGAGGGAGGUGGAAUUCCACGUGUAGCGGUGAAAUGCGUAGAGAUGUGGAGGAACACCAGAGGCGAAGGCGGGCUACUGGGCUGAUACUGACGCUGAUGCGCGAAAGCCAGGGGAGCAAACGGG